UACACAAGAAAACCAAGGCUCA
rnacentral:miRNA from 1 species